rnacentral:rRNA from 1 species
UAGGGAAUCUUCCACAAUGGACGCAAGUCUGAUGGAGCAACGCCGCGUGAGUGAAGAAGGUUUUCGGAUCGUAAAGCCCUGUUGUUGGUGAAGAAGGAUAGAGGCAGUAACUGGUCUUUAUUUGACGGUAAUCAACCAGAAAGUCACGGCUAACUACGUGCCAGCAGCCGCGGUAAUACGUAGUUGGCAAGCGUUGUCCGGAUUUAUUGGGCGUAAAGCGAGCGCAGGCGGAAUGAUAAGUCUGAUGUGAAAGCCCACGGCUCAACCGUGGAACUGCAUCGGAAACUGUCAUUCUUGAAUGCAGAAGAGGAGAGUGGAAUUCCAUGUGUAGCGGUGGAAUGCGUAGAUAUAUGGAAGAACACCAGUGGCGAAGGCGGCUCUCUGGUCUGCAACUGACGCUGAGGCUCGAAAGCAUGGGUAGCGAACAGG